AAAAAAAAUCAAAAAUAAAAGAUUAUAGUACUUUUGCAUUACUAUAUAUCAACUAGAUUUUAACCCGCCGUAUACCGCGGGACGAUUUAUUUUUUAAAGGUAAUAUAUAUUAAAACUUGCAAAUUUUAUUUUUAUAAAAUAUUUAUAUUUUACAGUUUAUAAUUGUUAUUAAGUAACGCUAUACCACGAAUUUAUGAGACAAUUGUUAAAAAACUGAAGUUUUAACUCUUACUAAAAUAGCAUAUUAAU
rnacentral:sRNA from 1 species